rnacentral:lncRNA from 1 species
AUAGUUUCAGUACUACACCUUAUCAUGAUACAAAGGCAACUAUGUAGCUAGCUAACAUAACACUAAUCAAGACGUUCCUUUGUAAUGUAUUUAGUUUCUACAAUGCUGCUCGUCGGUAAUAGUUGGCUAGGUUUGGAAAUGGCGUCGCGGGGGACGAAAAUAGCUGGCCAGCUAACCUCGAUAAUUACUCGAAACUACACAAUUAUCAAGCUAUGACAAACUAUGACAAAGACAACUUAUUGACUAAAAUGACUAAAAUUAUACAGUACUGUUGGCUGGUAAAGUAGGCUAGCUAGCAGUGGCUGCGUUGUUGACUUUGUUUGAAAGUGUAGCUGGCUAGGUAACCUCGAUAGUUUCAGUACUACACCUCAUCAUGAUACAAAGGCAACUAUGUAGCUAGCUAACACUAGCUAACCUGGCUAGCUAACCUCGAUAAUUACUCUAAACUACACAAUUAUCUUAGAUACAAAGACAGCAAAGACAACUAUCUAGCUAGCAGUUGUUGACUAAGUAGGAGAACGGUGGCGCGGCGCGGCGGACGAAAAUAGCUGGCUAGCUAACCUCGAUAAUUACUCUAAACUACACAAUUAUCUUAGAUACAAAGACAGCAAAGACAACUAUGUAGCUAGCUAACACUACACUAAUCAAAUCGUUCCGUUGUAAUGUAUUAGUUUCUACAGUGCUGCUAGUCGGUAAAAGUUGGCUAGCUAGCUAGCAGUUGUUGACUAAGUAGGAGAACGGUGGCGUGGCGUGGCGGACAAAAAUAGCUGGCUAGCUAACCUCGAUAAUUACUCUAAACUACACAAUUAUCUUUGAUACAAAGACAGCUAAGAAGCUAGCUAAAAAAUUGCUCAGAUCAAACAAAUCAAACCGUUGUAAUGUAAUGAGAUGUAAUAUUACCUGCGGAGCGGAGUGCAGCACGACUACUCGCUCCAAACCCGGAAGAGUAUUCACCCCCUUGGCAUUUUUCCUAUUUUGUUAGGAAAAAUGGGGGGUUGUAUCAUUUGAUUUACACAACAUGCCUACCACUUUGGUAGAUGCUAAAUAUUUUUUAUUGUGAGACAAACAAGACAAAAAAAACAGAACUUGAGUGUGCAUAACUAUUCACUCCCCCAAAGUCAAUACUUUGUAGAGCAACCUUUUGCAGCAAUUACAGCUGUCUCUUGAGGUACGUCUCUAUAAGCUUGGCAUUCGAGGUCGACCGAUUAUUGGAGGGCCAAAAAAUCCGAUACCGAUUAAUCGGACAAUUUCUUUUUAUUUAUUUGUAAUAAUGACAAUUACAACAAUACUGAAUGAACACUUAUUUUAACUUAAUAUAAUAAAUACAUCAAUAAAAUCAAUUUAGCCUCAAAUAAAUAAUGAAACUUGUUCAAUUUGGUUUAAAUAAUGCAAAAACAAAGUGUUUGAGAAUAAAGUAAAAGUGCCAUGUGCCAUGUAAAAAAGCUAACGUUUAAGUUCCUUGCUCAGAACAUGAGAACAUAUGAAAGCUGUUGGAGGUUCUUAUAGGCACUUUAGUAUUGCCAGUGUAACAGUAUAGCUUCCGUCCCUCUCCUCGCCCCUACCUCAAAUCACAUUUAUUUUUAUAUAGCCCUUCGUACAUCAGCUGAUAUUCUCAAAGUGCUGU